rnacentral:misc_RNA from 1 species
GUUAAAAAAAAAAAAAAACAUGUACAUGAGCAUAAAUCCAAACAUGAUAAAAUAAUAAAAAUUGCAUAGCACUAAUAAAAUGGCCUAAUCACAAAAAAAAUCCAAACAUUUUCACGAAAUUGCAAUUCAACCCAAUGGUUUUUAAUUUUAGCAAUUUUGGCUAAAUUGCGCAAAUUGAUUACAAUUGUAUCAAAUUGAUAAAAAUAAGGUUUCCCUUUGUACCUAACUGUCCAAAAUUAGGCUUAUAAUUAUCAAUCUCUCCCCUCACUAUAGUUUUUGGCCAAAAAAUUAGCCGAAAUUGUCAAAAUUGGAACCCUAAUUUUGAUCAAUUGGAUAAAAUUGCAACAAAUAUGUUGAAAUUAGCCAAAAUUGAACCAUUGGAUUAAAUUGCAAUUCAACAAAAUGUUGGGCUUUUUUUUUAUCAGUAGGCCCAGUUAAAUUAGCCAUAACUCACGUAUUCAUGAAGAAGAAGAAAGAGAAGAUUUAGAAGCUCACGAGUUCUG